CAGCUCUCCGAGUGGUAGGGAUGAUUAUUGGGCUUAAAGCGUCCGUAGCCGGCUUAGCAAGUCUCCUGUUAAAUUCAGCGACCUAAUCGUUGAGCCGCGGGAGAUACUACUAGGCUAGGAGGCGGGAGAGGUCGACGGUACUUCUGGGGUAGGGGUGAAAUCCUAUAAUCCCGGGAGGACCACCAGUGGCGAAGGCUGUCGACUAGAACGCGCUCGACGGUGAGGGACGAAAGCUGGGGGAGCGAACCGGAUUAGAUACCCGAGUAGUCC
rnacentral:rRNA from 1 species